CAGGGAAAUAAAUUUGAUACAUAUCAACCAGGACCAUUUCCACUUCAUCAACUUUAUCUCCUACCACUAAGUAUGUGGGCACUGUUAGUCCCAUCUUACAGAGGAGACAUCUGAGGCUCAAUGAAAGGUGGCUGGUGCCAUACUUUCUGACUUGGUAAAGUGUGGGAAAUCAGAUGCUCUUCUGCGCUACUUUGGUGGAGAAUUCAAUGCUUGUCACUGGUUUAGCUCUUUCUUAUCAACUUCAUUCUCAUGGACUCACCAGGUCCAUUAUCUUACCAUUUUACUAUCAUGGGCUUUUGUGUUGAAUUCACUAUAUUCUUUUCCUCAUAUGCAUUUUCUUUCAGCACAAG